rnacentral:tRNA from 1 species
GGGCCCGUAACUCAGUUCGGCUAGAGUGGCUGGCUUUUAACCAGUAAGUCACGGGUUCGAAUCCCGUCGGGCCCG